GAACUCGUAGCUCAGUUGGUAGAGCAAUACACUUUUAAUGUAUGGGCCCUGGGUUCGAGUCCCAGCGGGUUCACAA
rnacentral:tRNA from 1 species